rnacentral:misc_RNA from 1 species
CGUGCAAUGCCUCAGCUGCCAACCAGUAUUGAGCCCAGUCCGUGAUAGGGCAAACAAGUUGCACGCGCUUCCGCAGGCACCACCGCAGUGUGGUCCAGCAGUGACUUGUGUAGUCCUCGUGGGAGGCUGGUUUUGA